AGCUUUGCGCAGUGGCAGUAUCAUAGCCAAUGAGGUUAAUCCAAAGUGCGAUUAUUGCUAAUUAAUGUUUCCAUCUAUGCUGCAAUGUUUAAAGAAUGUAACAGUAU
rnacentral:snRNA from 1 species